GCCCUCAUGGCUUAGUGGUAAAGCGUAUCACUAGUAUUCACCGAAUGCAAUGAUAAGAUCGCUAGUUCGAUUCUGGCUGAGGGCA